rnacentral:sRNA from 1 species
GGUACAUAAGAGAUAGCAGUGGGAGAUGGGAAGGGAGAGGCAGAGGCCGACCAGGACAUCAGCAUGGAAACAUUUUCAUGAUACAGCAGCUGCUAAAUGACUUAUUGGUACUAAAUCCUUACUGUACAUCAGGGAUGUGAGAAAAUCGAGGCAACCCUGUCGGAUGCUCUGUGCUUCAGCCCUGCUCUGGUCUUCUUUUGGUCUCAUUCCUUACCACUAGAACAGAUGUUCCUGAGGCCAAGAAUCUAGAUCCAAUUCAGUAUCCCAUUACCUCUUCUACACCAUCUGCAUGUACCAGGAACCCUGAAAAUCCCUAAUCCAAUGCUCUGAGCCUAUUUCUAAGGACUGAAUGGGCCUCCUCCUUUGUCUGCAAACCUCAUCUCUGACAUGUGUAUCCUUAGGACCAUAGAGCCAAAAGGAGACUGCUUGUAGUUGAGAAGCUGGUACAUGUGGCUCAGGGCAUACACAUGUACAAGAGGGAACUCAUUGUGUG